rnacentral:lncRNA from 1 species
UUAGAUGAGGCAAUAAAAUCGGAAUUAGAAAAUAAGGGGUUAGAGGACGAAGAAAAAAAGGCGUCAGAGGGCGCUGACGACGUUGAAAAAGAAAAACGGACGGAUAACAAAGUUUUAAUGAAACGAACAUGAUGUGCCAGUUGAUGGAAAAAAUGAUGUUUUUACUGGAAAAACAGAACGAAACGAAUAAUAAAAAAGAAACCGUAGUGGAAGUCCAAACAGUACCGGAUCUAACGAACUCUCUAUCUACAUUUCUGGGCUCGACGACAGAGAAUGUGGAAGAAUGGAUCGAUCAGAUCGAACGCGUUAAGGAACAACAAAGGCUAGCCCAGGAUCAAGCAUUGCCUAUAGCAAUCAGUCGAUUA